rnacentral:sRNA from 1 species
UUUUUUCUUUCUUAAAACAUGUUUUUAAAAAAGGUGAGAUUCGCCUACAGUUACAACGAAUAAUAAUAUUAAGAUACACAAAUUAAAAUAGAAAAAACUGAUCAGAGUCAAAAAAGAAAAUUGUAUCCUAGUGGACAAUGGAAAACGGAGAAUCUACUGCUUAACCCACCUUAUCUCAAUAUCUUUCUUCGAUCUCACAAUGGCCGACACAAUGACCGAGCUACGAGAAAAAAUUGUUACUAUCACCAACGUCCUCUACCAUAAAGGGAUUUUUCGAGGUAAGGGAUUUUACUCACUCUUGAGCACUCAAGAUAAAUUCCAAGAUUAGCGGUAAAAAUCAAAAAUAAUCGAAAAUUUUAAAUUUAAAAACGAUUCUUUAAGAAAGAAAAAACCGUUAGAAACGAUGUAAUGAUUGUAAUUUUUCAGACCAUUUUAUAAAAAAAAUA